UACGGAGGGUGCGAGCGUUGUCCGGAAUCGCUGGGCGUAAAGGGCGCGUAGGCGGCGCGGAUAGUCGGCGGUGAAAGCCCGGAGCUCAACUCCGGGUCGGCCGUCGAUACUCCCGGGCUUGAGCACUGUAGAGGCAGAUGGAAUUCCGGGUGUAGCGGUGGAAUGCGUAGAGAUCCGGAAGAACACCGGUGGCGAAGGCGGUCUGCUGGGCAGUUGCUGACGCUGAUGCGCGACAGCGUGGGGAGCAAACAGG
rnacentral:rRNA from 1 species